UACGUAGGGGGCAGGCGUUAAUCGGAAUUACUGGGCGUAAAGCGUGCGCAGGCGGUCUUUUAAGUCAGAUGUGAAAUCCCCGGGCUUAACCUGGGAACUGCGUUUGAAACUGGAAGGCUAGAGUGUGGCAGAGGGGGGUGGAAUUCCACGUGUAGCAGUGAAAUGCGUAGAUAUGUGGAGGAACACCGAUGGCGAAGGCAGCCCCCUGGGCUAACACUGACGCUCAUGCACGAAAGCGUGGGGAGCAAACAGG
rnacentral:rRNA from 1 species